rnacentral:rRNA from 1 species
AGUUGCCAGCAGUUCGGCUGGGCACUCUAAAGGGACUGCCGGUGUUAAACCGGAGGAAGGUGGGGAUGACGUCAAGUCCUCAUGGCCUUUAUGACCAGGGCUACACACGUACUACAAUGGCCGAUACAAAGGGCAGCGACACUGCGAGGUGAAGCCAAUCCCGUAAAAUCGGUCUCAGUCCGGAUUGGAGUCUGCAACUCGACUCCAUGAAGUUGGAAUCGCUAGUAAUCGUGGAUCAGCAUGCCACGGUGAAUACGGUUCCCGGGCCUU